GGUGGCAGUACCUCGUUGACUGGGAGGGCUACGGCCCGGAGGAACGGUCCUGGGUGCCCGGUUCUUUCAUUUUAGACCCUGGACUCAUCUCUGACUACCGUGCCUCACUUCCUUCUGGCUCUUUUGGGCCGCCAGGUGGCGGCCGUUGAGGGGGGGGUACUGUUGGGAAGCUGGAGUUUUGGUUUCUGUGGGGCUGCUUUUCUUGUCUCUAGUUAUCCACUAGAUGGAGCCAGGAAGCUGUGUUGUCCAGAGGGCGGUCUCAGGUGUUCAGCCAUCACACCUGCAGCCUAUCUGUCAUCAGCCAGUGUUUAAGAGAAGCCUGUCACCAGUCCUUCGAUGCCUGAGUGUUGCCGUUCAUGGUUCUCAGCGGCUGUUACCUUUGUGCCUUAUGAGUUUUAUCGUUUCACCUCCAAGAUUCUUCAUAAAGAAACCCCUGGUUCAUAAAUCCCUACGACUGGUUCUUCUGGCUGAUCAAGUCUGUGCUACAACCUGUCCGCCCUCCAAUGAAGUGCAACUAACAAACCCUCAUCGCCGCCCAUUCUCUCUGGAUCUCCUGGCUUCAGUUCCAACCCCACCUGGACCCGGCACUCACCCUAGAAACCAAGUUCCAGCACCAGCAGAAUACCUCCCCCUGGUGGAUCAGUUCCAUUUCACUAAAUCCAGAUCUCCAGCUGUCCCAUACCCCGGGCAAAGAAGAUACAUUCAAACUCUUUUUACAAUAAACUUUAUUUAACUGACA